UGUAAUCUUCAGGGCAAGGUGCGUUAGUUUACUAACAAUUCCUGACCGGCGGUAAACCCCGCGAGCCGAAAGGCUGAACUGGUGCAAUUCCAGUGGCGACAGUAUAGUCUGGAUGAAAGAAGAGCAUU
rnacentral:ncRNA from 2 species